rnacentral:lncRNA from 1 species
AGCAUGCUGUCCUCCCGUGUAAAGUGGGUAUGAUGCUCCUGUUUGCUGAAAAGGUCAUAAAUUAAACAAGGGGCAAAGGAGUGUAAGAGUGGAAAGUAAGCACCCAUGUGCGCUUCCUUCCUCAAGAAGGUCACCAUACAUAAAUUAUACAGAAUGCACACAAAUGUCCCAUAAAGUCUGGGAACAGUUUGCCUCCCUGCUGAAAAACAACAUGUGAGAAGAAACUGCUCUCUUUCUACUUCAGCUGUUGGAGGAUUUUCUGCUUAGAAUUUUGAUCAUGAGAAGGGCUGAGGACAAAAGCCAACUCCAGACAAGAUGGAGCAAAAGGAAGGAAAGAAUGUGAUAGCAUCAUUCCGAUCGGAAUUAAUCAACUCUGGACCGCCUACCUCUGGACUUCUUGAACCCCCAUUUAUUUCCAUAUGAUCAAAGAACGUGACCCUCUACAGUCCCUGCAAGUGAAUGAUCAUGGCUCAACUAAAUCACUCGUGGCCGUUCUCUGCUUCUCCAGUGAAUGUGUUAUGCAUGGAUGGAAGCAGAAUGCUGACAAACUUUUCCUGAUGAGCAGUUUUCUUAUUUUCUGACAUCAUGACAAUAACUGGUGAGGAAGGAAGAUGCAGUGUGCAGGAAACACAUCAAGGGACUUGAAAGCUGCUUCCACCUGCUUCCGUCUUUACUGGAAAUCCUCAUGAGCCUCAGUGAAGGCUGGAUCCAUUUAAGACUGCCUUUUUUUCCUUUUUUCUGGGCUAUGUGAACUAUGAUUGCAAUUAGAUUGGAGAUCAACAUUGUAAGUGGGUGAGAGCUAAUGGUUACCAGGUAUAAACACUCACAAGAUAGGCUAAAACUAACAGUUUUCAUGUAAUCAGCUCCAUGCAGCAGCCACCUCGGGCUGUAGUUCUGAGUAUGGGACAUCUGGAGCUGCACUUUAAUUGCUGGUUGUAAUAGUUGCACAGCUGUUUGUAACAUUUCUGGCUAUGUUAAUCAUGGCUGCAGUCAUGCUUAUCGGAAAGCUACACUGGAGAGGCCAAUGCAUGAGUAUCGACAGUUGUUGACUUAGAAAGUCACAUCGUAUAUUUCCUUACUGAGCAUCAUACAAAGAAAAAUCAAAAGUGCAAAAAGAAUAAAGUUUAAUAAAAAUCUCAAUUCAUC